CAUGAGUACUGUGGUGGUGUGCCCGUCCAUUUUGAACUACCUGAUUCUGGGCUUUCAGGCACGCUUUCUCAUCGGUGGGCAACUAUUUCUGUGAGCAAGUGAUGUCUAGCGGGUUCAGGAUUGUAUCCUUGCUGUGAUACGUGAACCUCCUUCCCAGCCUGAGCAUCACCUGUGCGAUGAGGUAUUUGUCUGCUGCGACACGUCAGGUACUGUACAGAGCACGAGUGGCUGCCAGACACCUGCCUAUCCACUGCAAUUUACUUCGGGCCAAGAAUACAUUCCCGGUGACUUCCAUUUUCCACUGAGAAAGGAUAUCUGAAAAAUCGGAUAUCCAUGCUCCCACUCUUAAGUCUGAAGAAAAAUUUUGGACAACCUGCAAAAUCAGAAAUAAGUGGUUGGAAAACUGGACAAAACUAUGAAUAUUUACUUCA